UGAGGCUAGAUUACAUCUCUAAUGAGAAGGAUCCUGCGAGUCUGUUCAUACCGAGGCCGGCCCGAGUGCGCGAGCGGACAUUACGUGUGGCUGUCGUAAAAACCCUAUUUGUAAACAACCAGUCCUUUAACUCGGGGCUGCGUCAUAAACACGGAGCGCUUGGAAGACCACGAUGUCAUCUUCCUUCUGUCAGGAGGAUCAAAGUGAAGCUAAAGGAGUUUCAUUAACGUCAACAACUUGGACCGAACAGUUUGUUUUGCUUGAUGAAGAGCAGGAAGGGCAGCCUGGAGAGAAAGAGAAGCCGGGUUGAGCCCACUACCAUCAUCCACGUACCACGAGGAAGAUGAGGGAGAGAAAUGAUCCUACCAUUAAAGAGACUGUGAAAAGAACGUUGAGAACAUCACCACUCUACAGGAAGACACAGUCCAGUAAUGGGUGUCAGAAGUUCAGUAGUGAACGACAGAAACAAACAAUCAAAAUUACCUGCAGAAAGCCCUUGAUGGACGCUUCAGCUGCAUCGUCAGACUGGCAGUACUGAUGCAUUUACUGAGAGGGGACGUGAGGGCCUACUCUGCGUGCUCAGAGUUCAAGCCCAGCAGGCUGCAGCGGGCCUGACAUAUUCUGGAACAGCAGCACAGUCUUUAGAUGACUCCUCUGAAGAUGAAAACAUGGCGAGGUACUUCUCCACUGAUGAAGAACUGUGAGGGCUGUGA